rnacentral:lncRNA from 1 species
GAUAAAUAGUUUUCACCUGAGCCAGGCUUGCGUUACUUCCGUGACUUCAGUCUUUGCUCUCCUACCCUCUCACUUACUAGCUGAGCGAUCUGGGGGAGGUUAUCUAACCUUCCUGAGCCUCGUAUUCCUCAUACCGAAAACGGAGGUAACCAGAGUAACUACAUCCAAAAAUUGAGAGAACUGAAUGAGAUAAAUAAGGCGGGGUGUUUUUAACACGUCCUGCACAUGAAGACAAUACCAUGAUCAUGAAAUCACUAGAGAAAUCUGUCGGGGAAAGUCUGUGAGGAUAGUCUCAUCUGUAACACAUGUGUCCUCCAGAAAAAAAGUAUAUGGCUUUCAGACUAAAUUUUACUCCUUAUCCAAAUGGAAAGAAUAUCUAAAGAGACAAAGUGUAAUAAUCCAAGAAUCUUCUAUUGUGAGAAUAAUGGAGAUUGACAUUGUGAAGUAUAUAGAAAAACAUAAAAGAAAUUCUUCCCCCCCUCCCCCCACCCCACCCCAGCUACGUGGAGAAAUGGCCACAGCUGCUUCUCUUUUGUCUGCCAGGGGUGCCAGGCAUAUCUCUUCUCACACAUGCUUGAGUGACUGCCAGCCAUCUUCCCCGUAAGAAGGUCUGCAUAGGGAAAUAAGCACUACUGAAUGGAGACCAAUUAUUAGAUGGCACUGUUGCGAUUCCAGCCAAGCAAGAGAGAAGCAGUGCUGUAAGACAGAAGAAAAUAAUCAAGAAAUUCAUUUUGGACCCUUGUGGUUGUGUCUCCAAACUACAAGCAGUGGUUUAGAACAGGCGGAGUAGGAUAAGAGCAAUGAUGGCAAGAACUGAAGGCUGGGGACAGGAGCGUCACCAAGGGAGAAAGGAGUGAAGAGGAAAACAGUGCAAACUCCUGAAGAUCCAGUUGGAAGGAAGAGAAAUCAGAUGAAUUAUAAUCAACCAUUUUCACUGCAUUUCCAAGAAUGAAAAAUUAAGAUAAUAAAUAGACAAAUUUACAACCACAGAAUAUCAUGUUUAAAAGAUUCUGUAGGAAAAAAGAAAUAUGAUUUCAUUAAAACAUUGACUUUAAAAUAGACAUAGUAAGAUAGAAAUAUCAAACCAAAUUAUGAACAUUAAAACAAACUAUUUUUAGGAAUAAUUCUAGAUUGGGCCUUCAAUUUUACAUCAGUGAUUUUAUUUUGGAGUGAUUUGGAUUUUUUGUCUCUAGACCAGCACAAGUGGAUUAUUAUCAUUCAGUCUUUGAAAGGAGAAGAUACAGUUUCCAGUCACUAAUUUACAAUAUUGUUCUAUCAGUAUCUUCCAUGAGAGGUGAUUUACUAAUUUUUUUCUCAAUGUGAAAAGAUCCAGGAGACCCUGUUGCAUGUACUGGAAAAUAAGUUUGUUGAGGAUUUAUUUAUAUAUUUCUCAUAAUAACUUCCGAACUUGAGAAAAUGUUUGUC